rnacentral:rRNA from 1 species
CAUGUAGGCGGCUUAAUAAGUCGAGCGUGAAAAUGCGGGGCUCAACCCCGUAUGGCGCUGGAAACUGUUAGGCUUGAGUGCAGGAGAGGAAAGGGGAAUUCCCAGUGUAGCGGUGAAAUGCGUAGAUAUUGGGAGGAACACCAGUGGCGAAGGCGCCUUUCUGGACUGUGUCUGACGCUGAGAUGCGAAAGUCAGGGUAGCAACG